UGAGGAUGAAAGAAAGAAACUGCUCACUGGGAAAGACGGAAGAUAUAAGGAAAAAAUGCAACAAGAACUAGAGAAGAAAGAAGACAAACAGGCCAAAGCGCAGAACAGGCUGAGCUCCAAAAGAGAUUGUCUUAUUUGGAAUCAAAGUUUAUAGUUGGAGGUGUCAAUUUGCUUGAGUAGAUUGAGAAACAAUUAGAAAGUCAAGUUAGAAAAGUCAAGAAAAGAUUUAGAAAAGAGGAAGAAGGAAGAGUCCAUACUAAAAGAACAACUUAAGCAGAAAGAGGUUGAAAGACAGGAUUAUUUGGUCAAUAGAGGUGACAAGGGACAUCAUUACACAUGAAUUGAAGGAUACUUGGAAACAACUGCAAUCAAUGAAAGAUGUAGUGAGUCAUUUACUAAACAUGCAUAGGCAUGCAGGGAUUGUAGUAAAGGAGUAUGACAAAAUUUAUAUCAUCAAAGAGAAUUUUGGCACAUCACCAGAUACACACAGGUUUACACUAUGAUUCAAUUGCUCUUAUAGUAAACAUACAAUAUACAUGUACUGCAUAAUGCAAUAUACUGUUGUUGUUUUGAAUAACAAGAUGUACAGUGUUAUGUCUUGAGAAUUUGGUGGGUUAAAUUGGGAUUUCAUAGUGGCAGCUAAUAGUGGCAAAAAUGCUUUGAUGAAAUUUGACAGCUUACUAAGAAUGCUUAAUUUAAUCCCAUGCCAAUAAAUCCUAAACAUAUCACAGUCAAUGUUUCAUUUUUCUACUAUUUCAUCUGAUCAUGCAUGUACAGUACAUCAAGCCUAGAAAUACAUGUACCAUCAUA
rnacentral:lncRNA from 1 species